rnacentral:rRNA from 7 species
UCCUCGGACCGAUACCCCAGGUCAGGUGGGGCUACCCGCCGAGUUUAAGCAUAU